UGCAAGUCGAACGAUGAACCACUUCGGUGGGGAUUAGUGGCGAACGGGUGAGUAACACGUGGGUAAUCUGCCCUUCACUCUGGGACAAGCCCUGGAAACGGGGUCUAAUACCGGAUAUCACUUGCGCAGGCAUCUGUGCGGGUUGAAAGCUCCGGCGGUGAAGGAUGAGCCCGCGGCCUAUCAGCUUGUUGGUGAGGUAACGGCUCACCAAGGCGACGACGGGUAGCCGGCCUGAGAGGGCGACCGGCCACACUGGGACUGAGACACGGCCCAGACUCCUACGGGAGGCAGCAGUGGGGAAUAUUGCACAAUGGGCGCAAGCCUGAUGCAGCGACGCCGCGUGAGGGAUGACGGCCUUCGGGUUGUAAACCUCUUUCAGCAGGGAAGAAGCGCAAGUGACGGUACCUGCAGAAGAAGCGCCGGCUAACUACGUGCCAGCAGCCGCGGUAAUACGUAGGGCGCAAGCGUUGUCCGGAAUUAUUGGGCGUAAAGAGCUCGUAGGCGGCUUGUCACGUCGGGUGUGAAAGCCCGGGGCUUAACCCCGGGUCUGCAUUCGAUACGGGCAGGCUAGAGUGUGGUAGGGGAGAUCGGAAUUCCUGGUGUAGCGGUGAAAUGCGCAGAUAUCAGGAGGAACACCGGUGGCGAAGG
rnacentral:rRNA from 1 species